rfam:Nematostella vectensis strain CH2 x CH6 NEMVEscaffold_39_Cont6446, whole genome shotgun sequence.
GCCCCUGUGGUGCAAUGGACGAGCAUGUUGGACUUCUAAUUCAAAGGUUGUGGGUUCGAGUCCCACCAGGAGUG